rnacentral:rRNA from 1 species
GACGAACGCUGGCGGCGUGCUUAACACAUGCAAGUCGAACGGAAAGGCCCUGCUUUUGUGGGGUGCUCGAGUGGCGAACGGGGGAGUAAAACGUGAGUAACCUGCCCUUGACUUUGGGAUAACUUCAGGGAAAUGGGGCUAAUACCGGAUAGGAGCUCCUGCUGCAUGGGGGGGGUUGGAAAGUUUCGGCGGUUGGGGAUGGACUCGCGGCUUAUCAGCUUGUUGGUGGGGUAGUGGCUUACCAAGGCUUUGACGGGUAGCCGGCCUGAGAGGGUGACCGGCCACAUUGCGACUGAGAGACGGCCCAGACGGCAACGGGCGGCAGCAGGGGGGAAUAUUGCACAAUGGCCCGAAGCCUGAUGCAGCAACGCUGCGUGCGGGAUGACCGCCUUCGGGUUGUAAACCGCUUUCGCAGGUGACGAAGCGUGAGUGACGGUAAUGGGUAAAGAAGCACCGGCUAACUACGUG